GCCUAAGGUGGAGCCGUCAGCAGAGCGAGUCCUUUUGCAGAGACGGAAUCAUGCAGGGAAACGCAUCUUCGCCUCUGAACUCAACCUCCCUCCCGACGCCACUCCCUCCCAACACCACCGCUGACAUCAACGCCACAGUGAAACCGUUCAGUGUGUUUGAAGGGUGCGAGCAUCAGGUUGAAGGCAUUCUCUUUGACCUGACCGUGCAGAGCAUCAACGUACUCGUGGGAAUCCCCGCCAACUUAGCGGCCCUCGUGAUCCUCAUCCGCAGCCGUAAGAACCCCUCAACUUCUGACAUCUUCUUGGGCUGCCUUGCUUUCAUGGAUUUCUACUUUGGUACCAUGACCCCCUUCAGCUUCCUAAACUUGUACUACUGGCACAGCAAAGCGGUGUGGUUCGCCCUUAAGUUCUCCUAUGGGGUGAAAGACACAAGUGGGCCACUGUUUCUGUCCUGCAUUUGCCUCGAUCGCUUUGUGGCUGUGAUCUUUCCAGUCCAGUUCGGCCAGUUCAAACCCAUCAAGUACAGAUUAAGCCUCUCUGUGCUGGUGUUGUGCCUCACCUUUGCAUACUCUGCAGCCAAAACUGUGGGAGGCCUUCCCAACUUUGAGAAGGUAUUCACCGUUCAGAUCCUGGUAGCAUUUAGUUGGAUGAUGUUGUGCAAUGUGUGCGUCCUGUGGGCCCUGAAGAAGUCCCGCGGUGCAGGGAAAGACGAGAUGCACCCCAUGAAGAAGAAGGCCUUCAAGACGGUGCUGUCUCUCCUUUGUAUCAUUGUGUUUAACUACCUGCCACCUGUAGCACUGUUCCCUUUUCAAGACCACUAUUCCCCUGAGGUGUUUCGCUGCUAUGUGCAGCCUGUGGGCUUCGCUUUUGUCAACAUCAGCAGCACGAUCCAGCCGAUUGUUUAUCUGUCCCGGCUGGAGAAGCUGCCUUUCCUGCCGAACACCUGCGUCCAAAAGUGCUGCAACUGUUUGUCUGCAAAGAAACACAAAAUCUCACCAGCACAAAUCUCAUCUACUUAAGUUCAAGAAUAUAUAUGUAUAUCAAUGGUGGUGGACGUUCAGUUUAGCAGAAGAGCUGCGUGAGAAAUACGCUGAUGCAAUGCAACUGUACAUUCAUGUUUCCUUUUUGUGACUUGUUUUUCAUCUCUUGUGCAUUUGUUUUCCAAAUAAUGAAUAUAAAAACAUCAAAAGUCAACGAGUGAAAAAUCCCCAUUUUAAUUCAAUAUCUUCAUGAACAGAUGAUGUUCAUGGAGAUUCAUUUGUACAAACGGUAUUUGGUUUUGAUGUUUUCAAAGUGGUCUAAUAAAAACCUUCCUUUACAAUUCUUGUUUGGCUUUGGCGCCAUCGUGUGUACAACACAGAAAAACACUGAGCUAUACAGUAUCAUUGGCCCAACUAUGGUAGUUACACAAUAAAUAUAAACCAG
ensembl:lncRNA